ACAGCCAUAUCACAUUGAAACACUGGUUCUCAGAUGAUCACCGCAAUCAAGCAAUGUUGAGCCUGGUCAAUACCUAGGUGGGUAACCAUUUGGGAAUACCAGGUGCUGUA